UACGUAGGGGGCAAGCGUUGUCCGGAUUCAUUGGGCGUAAAGCGCGCGCAGGCGGCAGCCAGAGCCCGGCGUGAAAGCCCCCAGCUCAACUGGGGGAGGUCGUCGGGGACCUGGGAGCUAGAGGCCGGUAGGGGCGAGCGGAAUUCCCGGUGUAGUGGUGGAAUGCGUAGAGAUCGGGAGGAACACCAGUGGCGAAGGCGGCUCGCUGGCCCGGACCUGACGCUCAGGCGCGAAAGCGUGGGGAGCGAUCCGG
rnacentral:rRNA from 1 species